rnacentral:lncRNA from 1 species
UCGGGUAAAUCUAUUUCUGUUUGAUGUGAUGCUGUUCUAAUCUUAUUUUAAUUGUCUGUUAUUUAUACUGUAUCUUUUCUUUGGUAAUCUGUUAUGUAAUAGGGAAAUGUGUGUUAACACCUGAGCAAACAUCCAACCUCAUAUCUUUUGCAAAUUAUUUGACCUGACAAUUAAACCAUCCUGAUGCAACUUUCUGCCCUAUAUUUCAAUUUCGCUAAUAAAUGUGUCAGUGAACAAAAUCCUCAAAGUCACACAUAAUGAGUUCAUAGUAAUUUCAUAGUAAUUUAAAUAAUUUAAUUACCCCUGAUUUCUCUCAGAACUCACCAUUUGAACUCAUGAUAUGUAAAGUUAAGGAUUUAGUGCUCACAUUAUUAUCGACCUAAUUUUUCCUGCUAUAACCUAUCUUGUAAAUAAACUCCUGGGAAAUACUGUGUAGCAAUGCCAUUGGUAUCCAUGUUUGAAUUAAACAUAAAUCAUAAUUUAAUUACAACUUUUAUUUUAUAUAUAUACAUCACAAUUAUAAUUUGGCCCUUGGGGAAACUACUCAGCUAAAAAAUUUAAUUUUUUGCUCCAUGCCUAAACCAAGAGCCUAGCUAUGUGCAUACUGAAAGUAGCAAAGUAUAGACCCCUGGCUUGACAUCACACCAAUCCAAUUGGAACGAUGGUUCAAAAUAAAUGCAUGAGGCUAUCAGGAAGCCUAUGAGGCUAUCAUUCCUAGAGGCUAUCAUGCCUAUGAGGCUAUGAGGAAGCC